rnacentral:rRNA from 1 species
UGGGGAAUCUUGCGCAAUGGGGGCAACCCUGACGCAGCGACGCCGCGUGAGUGAUGAAGGCCUUCGGGUUGUAAAGCUCUGUGGAGGGAGACGAAUAAGCGUUGGCUAACAUCCAAUGUGAUGACGGUAUCCUUUUAGCAAGCACCGGCUAACUCUGUGCCAGCAGCCGCGGUAAGACAGAGGGUGCAAACGUUGUUCGGAAUUACUGGGCGUAAAGCGCGUGUAGGCUGCUCCGAAAGUCAGGUGUGAAAGCCCCGGGCUCAACCUGGAAGUGCACUUGAAACCUCGGAGCUUGAAUGCUGGAGAGGGAAGCGGAAUUCUCGGUGUAGAGGUGAAAUUCGUAGAUAUCGAGAGGAACACCGGUGGCGAAGGCGGCUUCCUGGACAGUUAUUGACGCUGAGACGCGAAAGCGUGGGGAGCAAACAG